rnacentral:rRNA from 1 species
UACGUAGGGUGCAAGCGUUGUCCGGAAUUAUUGGGCGUAAAGAGCUCGUAGGCGGUCUGUCGCGUCGGCUGUGAAAUCCCGGGGCUUAACCCCGGGCGUGCAGUGGAUACGGGCUGGCUGGAGGCAGGCAGGGGAGAACGGAAUUCCCGGUGUAGCGGUGAAAUGCGCAGAUAUCGGGAAGAACACCCGUGGCGAAGGCGGCACUCUGGGACGGUACUGACGCUGAGACGCGAAAGCGUGGGGAGCGAACAGG